CAAUAGCGUAUAUUAAAGUUGUUGCGGUUAAAAAGCUCGUAGUUGGAUUUCUGCCGAGGACGACCGGUCCGCCCUCUGGGUGUGUAUCUGGUUUGGCCUGGGCAUCUUCUUGGAGAACGUAGCUGCACUUGACUGUGUGGUGCGGUGUCCAGGACUUUUACUUUGAGGAAAUUAGAGUGUUUCAAGCAGGCACACGCCUUGAAUACAUUAGCAUGGAAUAAUAAGAUAGGACCUCGGUUCUAUUUUGUUGGUUUCUAGAGCUGAGGUAAUGAUUAAUAGGGAUAGUUGGGGGCAUUCGUAUUUAACUGUCAGAGGUGAAAUUCUUGGAUUUGUUAAAGACGGACCACUGCGAAAGCAUUUGCCAAGGAUGUUUUCAUUGA
rnacentral:rRNA from 1 species